GGACGAACGCUGGCGGCGUGCCUAACACAUGCAAGUCGAACGGGGCCCGCAAGGGUUCAGUGGCGAACGGGUGCGUAACACGUGAAGAAUUUGUCCAACGGCGGGGGAUAGCCGGCCCAACGGCCGGGUAAUACCGCGUACGACCGUCGAGGGGCAUCCCUCGACGGUGAAAGCCGCAAGGCGCCGAUGGAGAACUUCGCGGCCUAUCAGCUAGUUGGUGAGGUCAUGGCUCACCAAGGCGACGACGGGUAGCUGGUCCGAGAGGAUGACCAGCCACAUUGGGACUGAGACACGGCCCAGACUCCUACGGGAGGCAGCAGUGGGGAAUAUUGCGCAAUGGGCGAAAGCCUGACGCAGCGACGCCGCGUGUGGGAUGACGGCCU
rnacentral:rRNA from 1 species